rnacentral:rRNA from 1 species
UACGAAGGAUCCAAGCGUUAUCCGGAUUCAUUGGGUUUAAAGGGCGCGUAGGCGGUUUUGUAAGUCAGUGGUGAAAUCUCCUUGCUUAACAAGGAAACUGCCAUUGAUACUGCAGAACUAGAGUACAGAUGACGUUGGCGGAAUGUGUCAUGUAGCGGUGAAAUGCAUAGAUAUGACACAGAACACCGAUUGCGAAGGCAGCUGACGAAACUGCAACUGACGCUGAUGCACGAAAGUGCGGGGAUCAAACAGG